CGGAGUACCAUCUGGGCCUGCUGAAGGCUAAGCUAGCUAAGUACCGGGCCCAGCUGCUAGAACCUUCCAAGUCCGCGGGAGCCAAAGGAGAGGGAUUCGACGUCAUGAAAUCUGGAGACGCUCGAGUCGCUCUGAUUGGGUUCCCUUCCGUUGGAAAGUCCACCUUCCUCAGUCUGAUGACGGCAACAGCCAGCGAAGCAGCUUCCUAUGAGUUCACCACCCUGACCUGUAUCCCAGGAGUUAUAGAGUAUAAUGGAGCCAACAUCCAGCUGGUAGUAGUGUAUAAU